GACAGAGGAUGCAAGCGUUAUCCGGAAUGAUUGGGCGUAAAGCGUCUGUAGGUGGCUUCUUAAGUCCGCCGUCAAAUCCCAGGGCUCAACCCUGGACAGGCGGUGGAAACUACCAAGCUGGAGUACGGUAGGGGCAGAGGGAAUUUCCGGUGGAGCGGUGAAAUGCGUAGAGAUCGGAAAGAACACCAAUGGCGAAAGCACUUUACUGGGCUAUCACUGACACUGAGAGACGAAAGCUAGGGUAGCAAAUGGG
rnacentral:rRNA from 1 species